rnacentral:lncRNA from 1 species
AUGGAGAAGAUGCUUGUCUGUAGACCGUGUUUUGAGCUCUAUGGCAGCUCCUCUGCAAACCUUAGGAAUGAUGAGACGGGGCAGCAGCAUGAAGGCAGAGGCUUUACCCCAUCAGGGCGCUUUUUAGGUGUUGUGAAAACCCGUAAGAGAACUGCUAAACACAGGAUAGUUAAGCCAUGUUUCUGCUGUUGGUCCUGGGAGCACUGCCACCUCUGCUUGCACCUAGGUGGGCACCUGCCAGCCGAUGGGCCCCUUACUUCGCUGUUAACUCGAGAGCAUUCCUGUUAUACACAGGGAUUCUGAACAGGAAGAAGGGCAUUUCUCAGAAGGAACAGGUACUCAUUUUGUUUUCUCUUGGUUUUGAAGGCUUUAAACAGUAAACACGUUAUAAACAAUAUUCCAUCGGUGUAUUAGAUUAAAUCUUUGAUUCUUAUUAUAAUGCUGGAGACAGAAAAUUACAUUUAAUGUCACAGACUUAAAAUGACUUCUCUCACACUUUUGUACAAAAAGGCAAUAAAAACAAAAUUAGAAUGUUAGCAGUAAGAAUGGCACUGAAGGUCAGUUGGUCCAGCCCCUGCUUUUUAGAUGAAAGAUGAAAGGCCAGAUGUGGACAGAAUUGCUCAAUAAUACAAGUUAGGUGAUACCGUAUUUUAGAUAUCAUUAAUAUAUGCAAUAUUUCCCAUAGAUAAUAAAAAAACUCACAGAUUUCUUGCAAUUAAAAAGUCACAGGCAUCAGAUAUUUGUUAAUCAUAGCGCCCACUGACCUCCAUUAUGGGAAAAACAACAUACAACAUUUUUCCUUGUGAUAGAGAAUUUUCAUUCUAAGAAAGCCAUUUAAUUUCUAGUUUCUUUAAGUUACUUCUUCAGAAACCCACGAUGUGAUAGGCAUUGUUCAGGCUUCCAUUAGGCCGAACCCUGGAGCAUCUUUUCAUGUACUCAUGGGUUGCUUGCCUGUAUUUUUCCAGUGCCACGGGUACCUGUCCUUUGCCCAUAUUUUGGGAGAUUGGGGGAGAAAUGUUCUUUAAAUUUUCAACUCUCUAGAGAAGUCAGUUAGCCUUCAUUUGUGAUAGAAUUUGCAAUUUUUGGUUCUAGUUUGUCAAUUGACUUUGCUUAUGCUGUUUUUUUCCCUCUGUGCAUGAUUUUAAACUGAAAUCGAAGUUGAUGUCCAGCUCAUUUUUUAUAUUUAUCAAGGUAAAUAUGACAGACCAUACUCUAAAAGCAACUAAUAAGAUCUAGAAUUAGGAGUUCCCAUUGUGGCUCAGCAGAAACGAAUCUGACUAGCAUCUAUGAGGCCGCAGGUUUGAGCCCUGUCCUCAUGCAUUGGGUUAAGGAUCUGGCGUUGUUGUGUAGGUUGUAGACACGGCUCGGAUCCCAUGUCGCUGUAGCGAUGAUGUAAAGCCACCGGGGCCCCGUGCUACGCAGAAUUCCGGAGGUGGUGAGUUCCCCUUGUGGCUCAGUGGUAAUGAACCCAACUAGUAUCCACAAGGACAAGGGUUCAAUCCCUGGCCUUGCUCAGUGGGUUAAGGAUCUAGCAUUGCCAUGAGCUGUGGUGUAGGUUGCAGACGCAGCUUGGAUCCUGUGUUAACCGUGGCUGUGGUAUAGGCCAGCAGCUGCAGCUCCAAUUUGACCUCUAGCCUGGGAACCUCCAUAUGCCACAGGUAUGGCCCUAAAAUAAAUAAAUAAAUAAAUGAAGAAGAAGAAGAAGACCCAGAAUUACACAGAAGUUAGUAGUAGUUAUAUGUGAAUCUACUGUUAAAUAUUUGGAAAUAUCCUGAUAUUUUCUAGAGAUCAUUAGCAAAGCUCAUAGUUUCUUACCAAAUAAAUCUAUAAAGAUGUAGACCGCUUGAGAUCCCAGGGCCACUUAUUUAGAAAGCAUCAAUGUAUGUUUAUUAAUUUGAUAAAUUCUUUAAAGUUAUCCUUUUCUGGUUAAUUUAGUGUAUCCUGAAUCCAUACAAAGGUAAGCUAGCUACUUUUAUGGUAAACUUUAAUGUUUUAUUUAAAUCUUAGCAUGCCUCUAUAUAGAAUAUAAUACAGAGUACUCUUGGAAUAGAAUUUAGGAAAUGUUAUUUUCUUUAUUUUCUUCCAGAUAUUUCCCUUGACCCCUCUCUCUAAAUCCUUCAAUCCCUUUUUAAUAAACAGAAGUUAAUUUUUCCUAGAGAAAGUGAAAAUGGCUAUAACAUACAUUUUAUUCCAAUCUACCUCUGAGGAGUAGGUUCUAUAGAAGAAAAAGAAAAUACUUAAAAAAGAAAGAUAUCUGUGUGUCUAAAGAAAUAUAUCUGAAAAAAGAUUAGUAAAAAUGAAUUAAAUUAGUAGUUGUUAUCACUAGAUAGUAUAUUUAUGUAACUGAUUUUUUAAAUCUCUUUCUCCUGUAUUUUCUACAUUCUCCCCAACGAGCCCAUUCCGUAUUAUAAACGUUUGAAAAUAAGAAAGAAAAGUGACACACAUGUAAACAGAAAUCCUGGGUGACACCUUCUCUAAGUAAUCGAGGUUACUUACAAAUCCUAAGAGCAGUUUUCUCCUGACUAGUUAAUUUGUGCUUUCAGCACAAGAGAAGAGGGUAAAGGGUGAGUAAUCCACAGCAAAGGAGGAGCUUCCCUGGAUCCUGGGAGAGCUUCGCAUCUUCCAGUGCACCUUUGCAUCUCUGUGAAGUCCCUCUAAAGAUGUUAUGAACCUUAGAUCUUUUUCUUUUGAAAUGAAUUGGCCUUUUUCCAAUCAACAUUUAAUUCGAGCUCUUUUCCAGCUUUAUAGUACUUUGCCAAGAAAGAACACUGAAAUAACAGGAAACCUUUUCUUUUUUUUUUUUUUUUUUUUUAGGCAGCAUGGGCAGCAGCUGAACUACCCAGAAUUUAUAUGCUGAUAAUCAUUAUGCAAGCAUUACACAUAAAUCACAAGUUCAAAGUAAGGGUUUAUUACCCUCUAUGGUUGUUGCCGUGUUGGGUACCAGAAGGUAUGGCACAAAGUUGAGACACUGAGUCGAUAAGAAAGAAUAAUGAGUAACCUGACCUUUUUGCAUUGCUUCUUUUCUCAAAGGAAAGUGUUCUCAGAGUUGAGCAACUAAAUAAAAAGAGCCUCAGUCCAGAACACACACAGGUCUUUCUUAACACACAAAAUAUAUCCUUGAGUCACUUUUUCUGCAGGAAGCAUCAUGUGCUACCUGCAUCAUCUUUAAGCAUUCUCACGUCCUGCAACACGCAGUGUGUCUUUUUUAAAAACUGAUGUGCAGUGUUGUGUUAAUGUCUCCUGUACAGCAAAGUGACACAGCGGUACGUGAACAUAUUCUUUUCCAUUGUGGUUGAUCACAGGGCGUUGUGCAGUAGGACCUUGUUGUUCAUCCAUAUUCUAUACGUAACAGUUUGCACCUGCUAACCCCAAACUCCCAAUCUGUCCCUCCCCGCCUUCCCUCUUCCUUGGCAACCACAAGUCUGUUCUCUAUGUCCGUGAGUCUGUUUUUGCUGUGUGGGUCUGUUCAUCUGUGUUGGAUUUUAGAUCCACCUGUUCAGUGUCAUCGUGUGGUAUUUGCUUUUGCCUUUCUGACUUCACUUAGUAUGAUCAUCUUUAGGUCCAUCCGUGUGGCUGCAGAUGGCAGUAUUUCGUUCUUGUAAUGGUUAAGUAGUUAGUAUCCCAUUGUUUAGAUAUACCACAUCUUCUUAUUUUGAGGGGGGCUGCACCUGCUGAAUGCAGCAGUCUCAGGGCCAGGGGUCAGACUUGCUCCAGAGCAGCAGCCUGAGCCACAGCAGUGACAACACCAGGUUAUUAACUAUCAGGCCACCAGGAAUCUCCUACUACAUCUUCUUUAUCCGUUCAUCUAUUGAUGGACAUUUAGGUUGUUUUCAUGUCUUGGCUGUUGUGAAUAGCACUGCUGUGAACAUAGGGGUAUGCUAUCUUUUCAAAUUAUAGUUUCGUCCAGAUAUAUGCCCAGCAAUAUGGGAUUGCUGGAUCAUAUGGCAACUCUAUUUUUAGUUUUUUGAGGAACCUUCAUACUGUUCUCCAUAGUGGCUGCAUCACCUUACACUACCACCAACAAUGUAGGAAGGUCCCUUUUUUUUCCACACUCUCUCCAAGCGUCUGUUAUUUGUAGACUAUUUUAUGACGGCCUUUCUGACCAGUGUGAAGUGGUACCUCACUGUAGUUUUGGUUUGCAUUUCUCUACUAAUUAGUGACGUUGAGCAUCUUUUCAUAUGCCUAUCAUCCGUCUUUAUGUCUUCUUUGCAGAAAUGUCUGUUUACGUCUUCUGCCCAUUUUUUUGAUUGGGCUGUUUGGUUUUCUGUUAUUGAGUUGUAUGAAUUGUUUGUAAACUUUGGAAUUUAAGCCCUUGUUGGCCACAUCAUUUGCAAAUGUUUUCUCUCAGUCUGUAGUUUGUCUUUUUGUUUUGCUUAUGGUUUUCUUUACUGUACCAAAGCUUCUAAGUUUGAUUAGGUCCUAUUUGUUUAUUUUUGCUUUUAUUUCUGUUGCCUUGGGAGACUGACCAAAGAAAUAGUGGUACAGUUUAUAUCAGAGAAUGUUUUGCUUGUGUUCUCUUCGAGGAGUUUUAUGGUGUCGUAUCUUGUAUUUAAGUCCUUAUAAGCUAUUUUGAGUUUAUUUUUGUGUAUGCUAUGAAGGUGUGUUCUGCCUUCAUUGGUUUACAUGCAGCUGUCUACCUUCCAACACCGCUUGCUGAAGAGACUGCCUUUUUCCCACUGUCUGUUCUUGCUUCCUAUGUCAGAUGAUUGACCGUAGGUGUGUGCGUUUAUUUCUGGACUCUUUAUUCUGUUCCAUUGAUCUAUAUGUCUGUUUCUGUGUCAAUACCAUGCUGUUUUUGAUGACUGUGGCUUUCUAGUAUUGUCUGAAGUUUGGGAGGGUUAUGGCUCCUGUUUUGUUUUUUUCCUCAGGAUUGCUUUGGCAGUUCUGGACAUUUUAUGAUUCCAUAUAAAGUUUAGGAGUAUUUGUUCUAGUUCUGUGAAAAACGUCAUAGGUAAUUUCAUAGGGAUCAUAUUAAGUCUUAGAUUGCUUUGGGCAGUGUGG